AGAGGAGUGGCGAACGGGUGAGUAACACGUGGGUAACCUGCCCAUCAGAAGGGGAUAACACUUGGAAACAGGUGCUAAUACCGUAUAACAAUCAAAACCGCAUGGUUUUGAUUUGAAAGGCGCUUUCGGGUGUCGCUGAUGGAUGGACCCGCGGUGCAUUAGCUAGUUGGUGAGGUAACGGCUCACCAAGGCCACGAUGCAUAGCCGACCUGAGAGGGUGAUCGGCCACAUUGGGACUGAGACACGGCCCAAACUCCUACGGGAGGCAGCAGUAGGGAAUCUUCGGCAAUGGACGAAAGUCUGACCGAGCAACGCCGCGUGAGUGAAGAAGGUUUUCGGAUCGUAAAACUCUGUUGUUAGAGAAGAACAAGGAUGAGAGUAACUGUUCAUCCCUUGACGGUAUCUAACCAGAAAGCCACGGCUAACUACGUGCCAGCAGCCGCGGUAAUACGUAGGUGGCAAGCGUUGUCCGGAUUUAUUGGGCGUAAAGCGAGCGCAGGCGGUUUCUUAAGUCUGAUGU
rnacentral:rRNA from 1 species